UCGAGAAUCUUCCGCAAUGGGCGAAAGCCUGACGGAGCGACGCCGCGUGUAGGAUGAAGGCCCUCGGGUUGUAAACUACUGUCACGGGUUAUGAAUGUGCAUAUGUUAACAGCGUGUGUAUUGACGUAAGCCCGAAAGGAAGCACCGGCUAACUCUGUGCCAGCAGCCGCGGUAAUACAGAGGGUGCAAACGUUGUUCGGAAUUACUGGGCAUAAAGGGCUCGUAGGCUGCCAACUAAGUCAGACGUGAAAUCCCUCGGCUUAACCGGGGAACUGCGUCUGAUACUGGAUGGCUUGAGAUUGGGAGAGGGAUGCGGAAUUCCAGGUGUAGCGGUGAAAUGCGUAGAUAUCUGGAGGAACACCGGUGGCGAAGGCGGCAUCCUGGACCAACACUGACGCUGAGGAGCGAAAGCCAGGGGAGCAAACGGGAUUAGAUACCCCGGUAGUCCCUGAGCGGGCUGGCAAGGCGCAU
rnacentral:rRNA from 1 species